CUUUCCUGUGGCGGAUCUCAUGAGAGACAGUUAACUCUAAUGAACUUAUCCUCUGCAGCAGUGGUAACUCUGGGUCGUCCUUUCCUGUGGCGGAUCUCAUGGGAGACAGUUAACUCCAAUGAACUUAUCCUCUGCAGCAGAGGUAACUCUGGGUCUUCCUUUCCUGUGGCGGAUCUCAUGAGAGACAGUUAACUCUAAUGAACUUAUCCUCUGCAGCAGAGGUAACUCUGGGUCGUCCUUUCCUGUGGGGG
ensembl:lncRNA